rnacentral:rRNA from 1 species
GUUGCCCUAGGGGCGCAGCAGUGAGGAAUAUUGGUCAAUGGGCGAGAGCCUGAACCAGCCAAGUCGCGUGAAGGAUGACGGCCCUAUGGGUUGUAAACUUCUUUUGUCAGGGAGCAAUUGGGUCCACGCGUGGGCUUAGCGAGAGUACCUGAAGAAAAAGCAUCGGCUAACUCCGUGCCAGCAGCCGCGGUAAUACGGAGGAUGCGAGCGUUAUCCGGAUUUAUUGGGUUUAAAGGGUGCGUAGGCGGAAUAUCAAGUCAGCGGUAAAAAUUCGGGGCUCAACCCCGUCGUGCCGUUGAAACUGA